rnacentral:rRNA from 1 species
CCUACGGGGGGCUGCAGUGGGGAAUAUUGGACAAUGGGCGAAAGCCUGAUCCAGCCAUGCCGCGUGUGUGAAGAAGGCCUUCGGGUUGUAAAGCACUUUCAGUGGGGAAGAAAGCCUUGGGGCUAAUACCCUCGAGGAAGGACAUCACCCACAGAAGAAGCACCGGCUAACUCCGUGCCAGCAGCCGCGGUAAUACGGAGGGUGCGAGCGUUAAUCGGAAUUACUGGGCGUAAAGCGCGCGUAGGCGGUCUGAUAAGCCGGUUGUGAAAGCCCCGGGCUUAACCUGGGAACGGCAUCCGGAACUGUCAGGCUAGAGUGCAGGAGAGGAAGGUAGAAUUCCCGGUGUAGCGGUGAAAUGCGUAGAGAUCGGGAGGAAUACCAGUGGCGAAGGCGGCCUUCUGGACUGACACUGACGCUGAGGUGCGAAAGCGUGGGUAGCAAACAGGAUUAGAUACCCGAGUAGUC